ACCCAGAUCCGGUCCCUCUCGCUGUGCUGCGGACGGGCAAAGCCAACCCUGCUGCACCGACACGCGUGACUGGUAAGACUUGAGGGGGAACCGAAGGUGUGUGUGGUGUGGUGCUUUGAAGUUGGCCAGGCCAGUACUUUGGCUGGUUAACUGGAUCGGGGACGAAGCAGAAGGUUGGGAUGAUGUUGGUAACAUGUUCACCAUUGGAGUUUUAGCCGAAUCGCAUCCUCGAGAAAGAUCUCGCUCUCCUUCUACCAAUUCUAAACAUUCAGAAGAUGCUGGUGAACAAGUCGUUCAGCUGGUCACGGGGGAUGGGAGCUACUCAGGGGGCACAACAGAGACAAAAAAAACUAGAUGAUCUGUACUCUAGGGACACUGAGAUUGUGGCUGAUUCAGAUGUGCUGCAGCAUUCAGAUACUAUGCUGGAAGAGGAGGGGUGAGGAAGGAGUUGGCCUUGGAAAGUACAACGGUGGCUCUUGGACGAAAAUGGUAAUGGUUGCCAACAAUCAUGAUGAAAAAGACAGGGACCCAUACAGAGUUUCAACAGUAGAGCCCUCUCUGCGGGUGUAUGCUGACAAGAAGUCGGGGGCUGUCGUUAAUCCAGCCACCAGAACGAGUUUCAAUUCCCUUGAGGAGGCUUAUGAUUUCUACAAGCCUUACUCAUGGGAAAGUGGAUUUGGUGUUUGAUACGCAAAAGACUUAAUGUUCAUAGGGAGAAGUGCAUGCAUGAAAUCGU